CCUACGGGGGACAGCAGUAGGGAAUAUUGCUCAAUGGGGGCAACCCUGAAGCAGCAACGCCGCGUGGAGGAUGAAGGUUUUCGGAUUGUAAACUUCUUUUGUUAGAGAAGAUAAUGACGGUAUCUAACGAAUAAGCACCGGCUAACACCGUGCCAGCAGCCGCGGUAAUACGGAGGGUGCAAGCGUUACUCGGAAUCACUGGGCGUAAAGGGGGAGUAGGCGGGAUAGCAAGUCAGAUGUGAAAUCCUAUGGCUUAACCAUAGAACUGCAUUUGAAACUGUUAUUCUAGAGUAGGGGAGAGGUAGGUGGAAUUCUUGGUGUAGGGGUGAAAUCCGUAGAGAUCAAGAGGAAUACCCAUUGCGAAGGCGACCUGCUAGAACGUAACUGACGCUGAUGCGCGAAAGCGUGGGGAGCAAACAGGAUUAGAUACCCGAGUAGUC
rnacentral:rRNA from 1 species